rnacentral:rRNA from 1 species
UACGUAGGGGGCAAGCGUUGUCCGGAAUCAUUGGGCGUAAAGCGCGUGUAGGCGGCCCGAAAAGUCUGGUGUGAAAUCUUGAGGCUCAACCUCAAGCUGUCACUGGAUACUGUCGGGCUUGAGUCUGGAAGAGGAGUGUGGAAUUCCUGGUGUAGCGGUGGAAUGCGCAGAUAUCAGGAGGAACACCAAUGGCGAAGGCAGCACUCUGGUACAUGACUGACGCUGAGACGCGAAAGCGUGGGGAGCAAACCGG